AGAGGCUAUGGGAAAGAAACCUGGAAAGUACCCUUGGCUGUGUACAUUUGAGUAAAGAGAGCACUAUAAAAUCAAAAACCAAUGAAAUGGUUUCCAGAACACAGAACUAUUAAGCUUAAGAAAAGGACAGAAGGAACUGAAGAGAGAGGAACUGUUUUGGAGCAUCACACUUCCACCUCAGAAGAAAUAAGGAAGGAAGGAGGAGGGUGUUCCCACGGCUCUUCAACCAGGCCGGCUCUUCAGCCUACAUCCCCAUCUCAUCAAGUAAAAGGGAUUUUUCAACUGGACCAACCAGAUGGUUUAACAGUGCACUCCCACACCAUUCAACUACGCAAGGGAGAUACACUUAACAUAUGCAGUCGUAUAACACCUACUAACAUUUUCAAACAUUAAACCUUUAAAAAAGAGUUCUAAAGAAAUAGAAGCUUGAAGUAUCAUCUCUCAAGUAUAUAGACACUACUUCAUGGUGUGGUAAUAUAUGCAUAUAGAAGCUAGUAAACACCUCCAGGAGAUGCAAAAGGAAUUAGAACUGCCACAAGGUGCAAGCAAAACCUUGAGCUUCUUUAAAAUAUGAAGACUUCGAAGUUAUUUAUCCAAACCAACCUGAUCAUUUCUUAAGAGUGAAUAUACCUUGGAAGACGUGUCCUGCCUUUAGUAGCGUCACAAUGGAUUACAUCCUCUAUAAAGCAGUCUGGGGUGAGAAAAUCGAAUUUGGACACCGUUGAGGAGACUAUUGCAGUCAUCCAAGCUCAAGAUGGUGGAGCUUCAUCCUUGAGAAUAACCAAUGGGGAUAGAUUUAAGAGACACUUAGAGUCUGCAGCCAACAGGGCUGAAUGAGCAUUCUGUUUUUCCUCUUCUAAUCCUUCACCCAUCUGAGCUAAAGUCUAGACCUAAGGAGGCUACUAAUUCAGGGAUCGAGUAAUCUGCCAAGCAAGAGUUUAUUCAAGCACAGUUUGAAAUAAAGGAUAUGGGAGGACACCUGAGACGGCAGGCCAGAAGUCACUCAGUAGGAGAAACAUCCGUUAGAAGUAAUAAUGUGGGAUUGCUGAAGUAAAGACUAUAGGAAGAAAAAAGUGUCUGUGUGUAGGAAACGGAAAGGGAGAGAAAAAUACACUGAGAUGGUAAAGUAAGGAAGUGGAAGAUCAGCAGAAUGUGCAGAUGCCAAGCCAUCCAAGAAAAUCAUCUCUUGUGAUUGUUGCGAAGUCAACUAGCUAAUGUGACUCACUGCUAGGCUGUUGGAUCUGAGACUUAUGUGGGAUAAUUUAGAAACUUGCUAGUGUCUUAAGAUCAAUUACUCACCAAUGAGAGUGGCAUUGAACUGUGAAUGUUCCUCCUAGAUUUUCCAUGAAGACUAAUGGUUUUGUCUUGUCUUGAAUUUGUUUUAAUUACAAUUUGUAUACAUCCUGUUCCACCCUGAAAUUUUUAUUUUCCAAAUGGUUUUUCAUUUAAAGAGACUAAAUAAAGGUUCUGACUGAGUUGUA
rnacentral:lncRNA from 1 species